rnacentral:rRNA from 1 species
GAUGAACGCUGGCGGCGUGCCUAAUACAUGCAAGUCGAGCGAACAGACGAGGAGCUUGCUCCUCUGACGUUAGCGGCGGACGGGUGAGUAACACGUGGAUAACCUACCUAUAAGACUGGGAUAACUUCGGGAAACCGGAGCUAAUACCGGAUAAUAUAUUGAACCGCAUGGUUCAAUAGUGAAAGACGGUUUUGCUGUCACUUAUAGAUGGAUCCGCGCCGCAUUAGCUAGUUGGUAAGGUAACGGCUUACCAAGGCAACGAUGCGUAGCCGACCUGAGAGGGGGGUCGGCCACCAGGGAACUGGACCAGGGGCAGGACUCCUAAGGGAGGGAGCAGAAGGGAAUCUUCGGCAAUGGGGGGAAGCCUGGCGGAACAAGCGCGGGUGGGUGAUGAAGGUCCUGGGUUCGGAAAACCCUGUUUUUGGGGAAAAACAAAUGUGGAAGGAAAUAUGCACGGUGUGACGGUAACUGAUCAGAAAGCCACGGCUAACUACGUG